rnacentral:tRNA from 1 species
GGAGAGGUGCCGGAGCGGCUGAACGGAACGGCUUGGAAAGCCGUGACGCGCAAGCGUCUCGUGGGUUCGAAUCCCACCCUCUCCG